rnacentral:rRNA from 1 species
UACGUAGGGGGCAAGCGUUGUCCGGAAUCAUUGGGCGUAAAGCGCGUGUAGGCGGCUCGAUAAGUCUGCUGUGAAAGUUCAGGGCUCGAACCCUGAAAUGCCGGUGGAAACUGUCGGGCUAGAGUCCGGAAGAGGCGAGUGGAAUUCCUGGUGUAGCGGUGAAAUGCGCAGAUAUCAGGAGGAACACCAAUGGCGAAGGCAGCUCGCUGGGACGGUACUGACGCUGAGACGCGAAAGCGUGGGGAGCAAACAGG